UGACAUAUACCGAGGGGUUGAGACCAGCGAACUUGUUCGCGAAGCAACUGGAAGGGGUCCCAGGGAAAGCCUCUAAGCUUCAGCUUGGAACGACCGUACCGCAAACCGACACUGGUGCGCGAGAUGAAUAUUCUCAGGCGCUUGAGAGAACUCUGGAGAAGGAACUCGGCAAAUUGAUACCGUAACUUCGGAAGAAGGUAUGCCUUGGUAGCUUGAGUGUGAACAACACGAGGGCGAAGAGGUUGCAAAAAAUCGGUGGCUGCGACUGUUUAACAAAAACACAGCACUCUGCAAACACGAAAGUGGACGUAUAGGGUGUGACGCCUGCCCGGUGCCGGAAGGUUAAAUGAUGGGGUGCAAGCUCUUGAUUGAAGCCCCGGUAAACGGCGGCCGUAACAAUAACGGUCCUAAGGUAGCGAAAUUCCUUGUCGGGUAAGUUCCGACCUGCACGAAUGGCGUAACGAUGGCCACACUGUCUCCUCCAGGGACUCAGCGAAGUUGAAGUGUUUGUGAUGAUGCAAUCUACCCGCAGCUAGACGGAAAGACCCCAUGAACCUUUACUGUAGCUUUGCAUUGGACUGUGAACCGGUCUGUGUAGGAUAGUGGGAGGCUUUGAAGCGUGGACGCUAGUUCGCGUGGAGCCAACCUUGAAAUACCACCCUGGUUUGUUUGCGGUUCUAACCUUGGCCCGUUAUCCGGGUUGGGAGCAGUGCAUGGUAGGCAGUUUGACUGGGGCGGUCUCCUCCCAAAGCGUAACGGAGGAGUUCGAAGGUACGCUUGGCACGGUCGGACAUCGUGCCUAAAGUGCAAGGGCAAAAGCGUGCUUAACUGUGAGACUGACAAGUCGAACAGGUGCGAAAGCAGGACCUAGUGAUCCGGUGGUUCUGUAUGGAAGGGCCAUCGCUCAACGGAUAAAAGGUACUCUGGGGAUAACAGGCUGAUACCGCCCAAGAGUUCAUAUCGACGGCGGUGUUUGGCACCUCGAUGUCGGCUCAUCUCAUCCUGGGGCUGUAGCCGGUCCCAAGGGUAUGGCUGUUCGCCAUUUAAAGAGGUACGUGAGCUGGGUUCAAAACGUCGUGAGACAGUUUGGUCCCUAUCUGCUGUGGGCGUUGGAGAUUUGACGGGGCUUGCUCCUAGUACGAGAGGACCGGAGUGAACGCACCCCUGGUGUACCUGUUGUCACGCCAGUGGCAUUGCAGGGUAGCUAAGUGCGGAAGAGAUAACCGCUGAAAGCAUCUAAGCGGGAAACUUGCCUGAAGAUGAGAUCUCCCGGGAACUUGAUUCC
rnacentral:rRNA from 1 species